GUUAGUAUAGUUUAAACAAAACGUUAGAUUGUGAUUCUAAAAAUAGGAGUUAAAACCUCUUUAUUUACC
rnacentral:tRNA from 2 species